GGGCCCGCACAAGCGGUGGAGCAUGUGGUUUAAUUCGAUGAUACGCGAGGAACCUUACCAGGGCUUAAAUGUAGUCUGACGUACUUGGAAACAGGUAUUUCUUCGGACAGAUUACAAGGUGCUGCAUGGUUGUCGUCAGCUCGUGCCGUGAGGUGUCAGGUUAAGUCCUAUAACGAGCGCAACCCCUGUGGUUAGUUGCCAGCGAGUCAAGUCGGGAACUCUAGCCAGACUGCCGGUGCAAACCGUGAGGAAGGUGGGGAUGACGUCAAAUCAUCACGGCCCUUACGUCCUGGGCCACACACGUGCUACAAUGGUAGGGACAGAGAGCAGCCACUUUGCGAGAAGGAGCGAAUCUUCAAACCCUAUCACAGUUCGGAUCGGAGUCUGCAACUCGACUCCGUG
rnacentral:rRNA from 1 species